GUUAAAAAGCUCGUAGUUGGAUUUCUGUGGGGACGGAGCGGCCGGCCGCAACACGCGGUUCGAGCUAGCGCUUUCCCUGCAUCCUGCCGCGAACCGUGCUACCAUUAGUUUGGUGGCGCUGGGGAUCGGCUCGAUUACUUUGAGAAAAAUAGAGUGUUCAAAGCAGGCCACACGCCUUGAAUAAGUUAGCAUGGAAUAAUAACUAAGGACUUCGGUUCUAUUUUGUUGGUGUUCGGGACUGAAGUAAUGAUUGAUAGGGACAGUUGGGGCGGUCAGUAUUCCAAAGCGAGAGGUGAAAUUCUUAGACCUUCGGAAGACUAACAGCUGCGAAAGCGUUCCGCAAGGAUGUUCCCUUUGAUCAAGAACGAAAGUUGGGGGAUCGAAGACGAUCAGAUACCGUCGUAGUCUCAACUAUAAACUAUACCAGCUAGGGAUCGGCCAACGUUAUUCUAUACCGACUUGGUCGGCACCUUAUGAGAAAUCAAAGCAUCUGGGUUCCGGGGGGAGUAUGGUCGCAAGGCUGAAACUUGAAGGAAUUGACGGAAGGGCACCACCAGCCGUGGAGCCUGUGGCUUAAUUUGACUCAACACGGGAAAACUUACCAGGU
rnacentral:rRNA from 1 species